UGGGGAAUAUUGGACAAUGGGCGCAAGCCUGAUCCAGCCAUGCCGCGUGAGUGAUGAAGGCCCUAGGGUUGUAAAGCUCUUUCACCGGUGAAGAUAAUGACGGUAACCGGAGAAGAAGCCCCGGCUAACUUCGUGCCAGCAGCCGCGGUAAUACGAAGGGGGCUAGCGUUGUUCGGAUUUACUGGGCGUAAAGCGCACGUAGGCGGACUAUUAAGUCAGGGGUGAAAUCCCGGGGAUCAACCCCGGAACUGCCUUUGAUACUGGUAGGCUUGAGUGCGAGAGAGGUGAGUGGAAUUCCGAGUGUAGAGGUGAAAUUCGUAGAUAUUCGGAGGAACACCAGUGGCGAAGGCGGCUCACUGGCUCGAUACUGAAGCUGAGGUGCGAAAGCGUGGGGAGCAAACAGG
rnacentral:rRNA from 1 species